CCUACGGGAUGCAGCAGUGAGGAAUAUUGGACAAUGGGCGCAAGCCUGAUCCAGCCAUGCCGCGUGCAGGAAGACGGUCCUAUGGAUUGUAAACUGCUUUUAUACAGGAAGAAACACCUCUACGUGUAGAGACUUGACGGUACUGUAUGAAUAAGCAUCGGCUAACUCCGUGCCAGUAGCCGCGGUAAUACGGAGGAUGCAAGCGUUAUCCGGAAUCAUUGGGUUUAAAGGGUCCGUAGGCGGUUUAAUAAGUCAGUGGUGAAAGCCCAUCGCUCAACGAUGGAACGGCCAUUGAUACUGUUAAACUUGAAUUAUUAGGAAGUAACUAGAAUAUGUAGUGUAGCGGUGAAAUGCUUAGAGAUUACAUGGAAUACCAAUUGCGAAGGCAGGUUACUACUAAUAUAUUGACGCUGAUGGACGAAAGCGUGGGGAGCGAACAGGAUUAGAUACCCUGGUAGCCCACGCCGUAAACGAUGGAUACUAGCUGUUCGAGCAAUCUGNGNGNGAGAGAAGAGANAAGUAUACCACCNCGGAGGUACGUCGCGAGAAGAGAAGUACAAUAGAGUUAGAGGCGUAGAGACGNGCCGACGGACGACGACGAGGGAGGAGG
rnacentral:rRNA from 1 species